UUUCUAAAAGUUCUAUUUAGGGAAGUCCGGUAAGAUUCCGGCACUGUGCCGCAACUGUAAUCCCAGGCAACUGGGUAGUCAGAUCGCUAAUUAGAGC
rnacentral:ncRNA from 2 species